GCAGGUGUAGUUUAAUGGCAAAACUCCAGCCUUCCAAGCUGGUAUUGUCGGUUCGAUUCCGUCCACCUGCACCA
rnacentral:tRNA from 1 species